rnacentral:rRNA from 1 species
ACGGCCCUACGGGUUGUAAACUGCUUUUAUACCGGAAUAAACCCUGAUACGUGUAUCAGGCUGAAUGUACGGUAAGAAUAAGGAUCGGCUAACUCCGUGC